ensembl:misc_RNA Metazoa_SRP Metazoan signal recognition particle RNA
GCUGGGCAUGGUGGUGUGCACCUAUAGUCCCAGCUUCUUAGGAGGCUGAGAUAGGAGGAUUGCUUGAGCCCAGGAGGUCAAGGCUGCAGUGAACUGAGAUCGCACCACUGCACUCCAGCCUGGGCAACAGAGCAAGACCCUGUCUCAA